rnacentral:rRNA from 1 species
UACGUAGGUGACCAGCGUUGUUCGGAUUUACUGGGCGUAAAGAGCGCGCAGGCGGUCGUUCAAGUCGAGUGUGAAAGCCCCCGGCUCAACUGGGGAGGGUCAUUCGAUACUGAUCGACUUGAAGGCAGGAGAGGGAAGUGGAAUUCCCGGUGUAGUGGUGAAAUGCGUAGAUAUCGGGAGGAACACCAGUGGCGAAGGCGACUUCCUGGCCUGUUCUUGACGCUGAGGCGCGAAAGCUAGGGGAGCAAACGGG